rnacentral:tRNA from 1 species
CCGACCUUAGCUCAGUUGGUAGAGCGGAGGACUGUAGAUCCUUAGGUCACUGGUUUGAAUCCGGUAGGUCGGA